rnacentral:rRNA from 1 species
CCCUGAUCUAGCCAUGCCGCGUGAGUGACGAAGGCCCUAGGGUCGUAAAGCUCUUUCAGCUGUGAAGAUAAUGACGGUAGCAGCAGAAGAAACCCCGGCUAACUCCGUGCCAGCAGCCGCGGUAAUACGGAGGGGGUUAGCGUUGUUCGGAAUUACUGGGCGUAAAGCGCGCGUAGGCGGACUAUUAAGUCGAGGGUGAAAUCCCGGGGCUCAACCCCGGAACUGCCUUCGAUACUGGUAGUCUUGAGUUCGAGAGAGGUGAGUGGAAUUCCGAGUGUAGAGGUGAAAUUCGUAGAUAUUCGGAGGAACACCAGUGGCGAAGGCGGCUCACUGGCUCGAUACUGACGCUGAGGUGCGAAAGUGUGGGGAGCAAACAGGAUUAGAUACCCUGGUAGUCCACACCGUAAACGAUGAAUGCCAGACGUCGGGUAGCAUGCUAUUCGGUGUCACACCUAACGGAUUAAGCAU